rnacentral:rRNA from 1 species
UACGAAGGGGGCGAGCGUUGUUCGGAAUUACUGGGCGUAAAGGGCGCGCAGGCGGCCUUAGAAGUCAGAUGUGAAAGCCCCGGGCUCAACCUGGGAAUGGCAUUUGAUACUCUGAGGCUGGAGUACGGGAGAGGAGAGUGGAAUUCCCAGUGUAGAGGUGAAAUUCGUAGAUAUUGGGAAGAACACCGGUGGCGAAGGCGACUCACUGGACACGUAUUGACGCUGAGGUGCGAAAGCGUGGGGAGCAAACAGGG